rnacentral:rRNA from 1 species
CCUACGGGUGGCAGCAGUGGGGAAUGUUGGACAAUGGGCGCAAGCCUGAUCCAGCUAUUCCGCGUGUGGGAUGACGGCUCUCGGGUUGUAAACCACUAUAGUAGAGAACGAAAAGGAGCGAACGAAUAAAUAGCUCUGCUGACGGUACUCGAAGAAUAAGCACCGGCUAACUACGUGCCAGCAGCCGCGGUAAUACGUAGGGUGCGAGCGUUAAUCGGAAUUACUGGGCGUAAAGGGUGUGCAGGCGGCUGAGUAAGACAGAGGGGAAAUCCCCGGGCUUAACCUGGGAACCGCAUAUGUGACUGCUUGGCUAGAGUGCGUCAGAGGGCAGUGGAAUUCCACGUGUAGCUGUGCCAUGCGUAGAUAUGUGG